rnacentral:rRNA from 1 species
AACGAACGCUGGCGGCGUGCCUAACACAUGCAAGUCGAGCGCGAAUGGAGCAAUCCUAGUAGAGCGGCGCACGGGUGCGUAACACGUGGGUAAUCUGCCUCAAAGCCCGGGAUAACCUGCCGAAAGGCAAGCUAAUACCGGAUAAGCCUACGGACUCUUCGGGGUCUGAAGGAAAAGGUGGCCUCUGUAUACAAGCUAUCACUUUGAGAUGAGCCCGCGGCCCANCAGCUCGUUGGCGGGGUAACGGCCCACCAAGGCAACGACGGGUAGCUGGUCUGAGAGGACGAUCAGCCACACUGGAACUGAGACACGGUCCAGACUCCUACGGGAGGCAGCAGUGGGGAAUUUUGCGCAAUGGGCGAAAGCCUGACGCAGCAACGCCGCGUGUGUGAUGAAGGUCUU